UGACAAGAAAUAACAAUACAGGGCCUAACGGUCUUGUAAUUGGAAUGAGUUAAGUAUAAACCCCUUUACAAGUAUCAAUUGGAGGGCAAGUCUGGUGCCAGCAGCCGCGGUAAUUCCAGCUCCAAUAGCGUAUAUUAAAGUUGUUGCAGUUAAAAAGCUCGUAGUUGGAUUUCUGUUAAUUCUUAUAUAUAAUACUACGGUAUUUAUAUAACAUUAACAUAAUUCAUAUUACUUAUUUAAAGUAUAUGAAAUUUUACUUUGAGAAAAUUAGAGUGCUUAAAGCAGGCUAUUGCCUUGAAUACUCCAGCAUGGAAUAAUAUUAAAGAUUUUUAUCUUUCUUAUUGGUUCUAAGAUAAAAAUGAUGAUUAAUAGGGACAGUUGGGGGCAUUUGUAUUUAACAGUCAGAGGUGAAAUUCUUAGAUUUGUUAAAGACAAACUACUGCGAAAGCAUUUGCCAAGGAUGUUUUCAUUAAUCAAGA
rnacentral:rRNA from 1 species